rnacentral:rRNA from 1 species
AUUGAACGCUGGCGGCAGGCCUAACACAUGCAAGUCGAGCGGAUGAAGGGAGCUUGCUCCUGGAUUCAGCGGCGGACGGGUGAGUAAUGCCUAGGAAUCUGCCUGGUAGUGGGGGAUAACGUCCGGAAACGGGCGCUAAUACCGCAUACGUCCUGAGGGAGAAAGUGGGGGAUCUUCGGACCUCACGCUAUCAGAUGAGCCUAGGUCGGAUUAGCUAGUUGGUGGGGUAAAGGCCUACCAAGGCGACGAUCCGUAACUGGUCUGAGAGGAUGAUCAGUCACACUGGAACUGAGACACGGUCCAGACUCCUACGGGAGGCAGCAGUGGGGAAUAUUGGACAAUGGGCGAAAGCCUGAUCCAGCCAUGCCGCGUGUGUGAGGAAGGUCUUCGGAUUGUAAAGCACUUUAAGUUGGGGGGAAGGGCAGUAAGUUAAUACCUUGCUGUUUUGACGUUACCAACAGAAUAAGCACCGGCUAACUUCGUG